rnacentral:lncRNA from 1 species
CUCAACUCGACAAUUACAUCCGCAUUAUGAAUCUGAACAAGCUCAUCAUCAUCAACCGACCCAACAGGUAAGGUCCCAGCCCCAGUCCGAACAAUUGCAAUCACAACCCCUGCCACAAUCCCCACGUGUAUUGCAACAACCUCAAAAUCCUCAAUAUAGCCCUCCUCAACAACAAUCACAACCUCAAUAUAGCCCUCCUCAACAACAUAUGCAACCUCAUAAUGAACCGCAACCACUACAGUAUCAGCCCCAGCACCAAACGCUGCAAUCUCAGCCUCAGCCCCAACCCGGACACAUUCAACAACCUCAACCGCAGCCACAAUUUCAGAAUC